UAGCUAUUCCAUCGUCACAGCAUAUUUCAUGUGAAAGCUCAUAAAGCUUGUGCCGCUACAUAAGCGAUGGUGUUUGAUUUCUGUCACUGUUAGUCAGGAAGCUUUAAAUGAACUCUAGAUUAUUUAGCAGUUCACCUGUUCCUAAAGCCUAUGUCCAUGUAGUGUGGAGGCAGGAAAAGGUCCCAUUGUUUAUCAAGCUCAACUUUUUGUUGUUGUUUUUGUUGGAUUUUUUUAAAAUCCUUUUGGCUGCAACUGUAAAGGUUAUUGCUUUACUUUGUGAAAGGUUUCAUGACUGCAUUCCCUAGAUUUCUUCCAAGAAUAGCCCUGUCCAUACACUGUAUACAUGUGAUCAUUUGUGAAAUAGAUUUAGUAAGAAGCUUUCAGUAAAGGAGGAAGCAGAGUGGCUUAGUAGCUGUUUUUCCCUAACUGCUCUUCAUUAGCAGCAAAGAAUACCAAGCCUAAGGUUGUCUUUAUUUUUUUCUGAUUUUGGGGAGCUUCUCACAAGUUUCUGUAAAGCUGCUACUUGCUUACUGACGUUGUGUGACAAGCGAUGCAUCCUCGCUGCCCCAAAUGCUAAAACUCACGUAUCCUUGUGUGCUGGUUGAGCUGCUGCAUCGUUCCCGCAGCUCGUGCACAUCUUUCCAAACACGUGCUGGCUGCCGCAUGUUCUCCCCGACAAAGAAGGGGCUUUCAGAAGAAGUGGACGGGGAGGGAGACCAAUGACAUUUCUGAAACUUCUGUUCGGUAUGUGGCUCGGAUGGCCUGCUGUCUCGGUUUCUCUCUCGCUGCUCCCUCUGCCAGCUUUCUGACAUGAAACUCCAGCCUUCGCCUGCUUCCUGCCUGGAAAGGUCACGGUUUGAACCGUGGCCAGCAGCAAGCGGCGGUGCUGGCACCCUCCCAGCUGCACAGGGAGAUGUGCAGGUGUUCAAACAAUGCCUGCUUGUUAGGGGGGCUCGGGCCUGUGAAACCCAGGCCCCUCCAGCUUCAUCAAGCCUCCCUGAAGGACGGGUGCUGGCAUGCUGACGGGGAGCAUUUGCCCGCCUGGUGGCAAUGUUACACUGCAGUUCAAGGCACCGGGUUCUGCGAUUUGGAAGAGAGCAGUAAAAUAAGCAUUAAAUCUGUACUGAAUGUGUGUUCUCUCUCCUUUUUUUUUUUUUUUCCACUUUGCUGCAACACUGAUGGGUGCCAUACAACGUAAAAAAAUUUGGGAAUAGAGUUCACCAAUAUUUCUUUGUAGGUUCUAGAAUCAGGGCGAAGCUUGAGCUAGUUUUAAUCUGAAAUGCUAAAAACGAUCCCUUCCUUUUACAGCAUUUAUAGAUACUUAGAACAUUGUCUAAUAUUUUUCAAGCCUUCUAAGUGUCAAAGAGGCAGUGUGUUACAGCUACUUAGUCUGCUCAAUAUUGCUAUACAAUUUAAGCCUAGAUUGAGACGGUCAAUGGGAUUGGAAAGAAGGCAAGAAAAGAAGCAUUUAAAAACAAAAUCAAUAUUCUAAGCUGGGGACCUAAUUAGUCAGCUAGACUUUAAGCUGCUGUUUUAUAGCAUGCAACUGCAUGGAUCUGCUAAAAUUGAAACUCUUCAGUGGGCCAGGUUCUAACAAUCCUCUGGCUAUUGCUAAUGUGAUGCUGGCCAAACUGGCAGUGCUUGGCAGAAAGGAAAUACCCUGACAAUUGGCACCUCCUUUGGCAGUUGUAUGAGAGGGGCUGGAGGCUGAAUGAGCACAGACAUGAUAUAUUUUGUCAUUGCAGAGUGGGCUGUCAGAGAUGGGAUGCCUACUCAGAUAUUUCUUGUUGGAGAACAAGAAGACUGAGCUAGUCAAUCUCGCAGCAAUAUGAAUACCUGAGAGCUUAAAAUAGGAGCAAAUAGAAGAAUGGUUAGGACAUCCAUUUUUUAAAAGCUAUUUUUCAGAUCUUUUUGCAUUGCCUUGGAGAAAAUCAGGAUACGUGGCACAUGUAUCAUCCCAGAUUCCCCUUCUCAUAGAUUAAGGCUAAGAUGGAUGGUUCCAAAAACAGUGUGAGCACUGCUGCAGGAGUAUUAGCCAGCUGAGGUGGCUCUUACCCAUUUUUAUCCUCAGCACGCCUUUAGCCAGUUGAUGUUCUUCCAGCUUUGGUGUGUCUUCCUGUGAUGUGAAGGCAUAUAAAAGAAAAAGGCAGCUCCAGGCAUUCAGGAGCAGAAAACUUAGAAGAAUAUUUUGCAUGAUUAGCAUCAUGAUGUAAGUGUGAAUUGUGUUUUUGUUUAAAUUGCUAUUUAUUUAUUUAUUGCUAGCAGAAGAACAAGGAAUUGCUGCUGCUGGAUUCCAAAGGGCUGCAGAACUGUGCCUAAAGCAACUAGUGCAAAGGCUCCCUCUGGCUACAGGUGUAGUCAUUUUUAUGAUGAUUUGGGACUGCAGAGCUCUGCUGUGGAGAGCAGGUGGUGAGAGUAGGGUAAGAAGUGACAGUAAUGUGAAGGAGCUGUGGGGAGAAGUAAGGCAGUGAGAAGAGAUGUGAAGCUGGUUUGUGUUGGUGUGAUGUGCCUAUACCUAAGAGGAGCACCUCUAAGAAUACCCUUGAGCGCCAGGAUUUUGCUGACAACAAACUUCAAAGGCAAUAGGAGAUGGACCUGGAGGACGAGAAGAGACUCUGGGGAAGCAGAGUAAACCAAAAUAACUGUGGGACACAACCAUUAAAUUAUGGUUUAUAUCCAGAGAGCCUUACCGACUCCACUAAGUGUGGGAAGAGAUUUAGCAAAUUAAGAUCAGCACUGAAAAAAAGAACAUACACCAUGAUCUGGAAACCACUAUGACCCCUGAGAAAAUCUUCCUUUUCAGAUGACUGGAAAAAACAACAAAGCAUGUAUCGGGGUAUAAAAAUAAAGCAAGAAACGCGGUUUGGGGCCUUCAGAACGACAGUUCGCUAAAGCGCUCCCCGAGGGCCGGAUGCAAGGCUGAAAAGGAAGCCCCAAGCCCCGCUUGCA